UACGUAGGGUGCGAGCGUUGUCCGGAAUUAUUGGGCGUAAAGGGCUCGUAGGCGGUCUGUUGCGUCAGGAGUGAAAACUCGGGGCUUAACCCCGAGCCUGCUUCUGAUACGGGCAGACUAGAGGUAUGCAGGGGAGAACGGAAUUCCUGGUGUAGCGGUGAAAUGCGCAGAUAUCAGGAGGAACACCGGUGGCGAAGGCGGUUCUCUGGGCAGGUCCUGACGCUGAGGAGCGAAAGUGUGGGGAGCGAACAGG
rnacentral:rRNA from 1 species